rnacentral:rRNA from 1 species
AGUCGAGCGGCAGCGCGGGGCAACCUGGCGGCGAGCGGCGGACGGGUGAGGAAUGCAUCGGAAUCUACCCUGUCGUGGGGGAUAACGUAGGGAAACUUACGCUAAUACCGCAUACGACCGAGAGGUGAAAGUGGAGGACCGCAAGGCCUCACGCGAUUGGAUGAGCCGAUGCCGGAUUAGCUAGUUGGUAGGGUAAAGGCCUACCAAGGCGACGAUCCGUAGCUGGUCUGAGAGGAUGAUCAGCCACACUGGGACUGAGACACGGCCCAAACUCCUACGGGAGGCAGCAGUGGGGAAUAUUGGACAAUGGGCGCAAGCCUGAUCCAGCCAUGCCGCGUGUGUGAAGAAGGCCUUCGGGUUGUAAAGCACUUUUGUUCGGGAAGAAAUCGUGCGGAUUAAUACUUCGUACGGAUGACGGUACCGAAAGAAUAAGCACCGGCUAACUUCGUGCCAGCAGCCGCGGUAAUACGAAGGGUGCAAGCGUUACUCGGAAUCACUGGGCGUAAAGCGUGCGUAGGCGGUUCGUUAAGUCUGCUGUGAAAGCCCUGGGCUCAACCUGGGAACUGCAGUGGAUACUGGCGGGCUAGAGUGUGAUAGAGGAUGGUGGAAUUCCCGGUGUAGCGGUGAAAUGCGUAGAGAUCGGGAGGAACACCAGUGGCGAAGGCGGCCAUCUGGAUCAACACUGACGCUGAGGCACGAAAGCGUGGGGAGCAAACAGGAUUAGAUACCCUGGUAGUCCACGCCCUAAACGAUGC